GAUGAACGCUGGCGGCGUGCCUAAUACAUGCAAGUCGAGCGAACGGACGAGAAGCUUGCUUCUCUGAUGUUAGCGGCGGACGGGUGAGUAACACGUGGAUAACCUACCUAUAAGACUGGGAUAACUUCGGGAAACCGGAGCUAUUACCGGAUAAUAUUUUGAACCGCAUGGUUCAAAAGUGAAAGACGGUCUUGCUGUCACUUAUAGAUGGAUCCGCGCUGCAUUAGCUAGUUGGUAAGGUAACGGCUUACCAAGGCAACGAUGCAUAGCCGACCUGAGAGGGUGAUCGGCCACACUGGAACUGAGACACGGUCCAGACUCCUACGGGAGGCAGCAGUAGGGAAUCCUCCGCAAUGGGCGAAAGCCUGACGGAGCAACGCCGCGUGAGUGAUGAAGGUCUUCGGAUCGUAAAACUCUGUUAUUAGGGAAGAACAUAUGUGUAAGUAACUGUGCACAUCUUGACGGUACCUAAUCAGAAAGCCACGGCUAACUACGUG
rnacentral:rRNA from 1 species